rnacentral:rRNA from 1 species
AAGUUUCUUCGGAAAUGAGUAAAGUGGCGUACGGGUGAGUAAUAUAUAGGAAUCUACCCAGUAAUGAGGAAUAAGCACUGGAAACGGUGUCUAAUACCACAUACUACCAUUUAUUUGGGAAAGAAUUAAUGGCAACAUUAAUUUGUUAUUGGAUGAGCCUAUAGCGGAUUAGCUAGUUGGUGAGGUAAAGGCCCACCAAGGCGAUGAUCCGUAGCUGAUCUGAGAGGGUGAUCAGCCACAUUGGGACUGCGACACGGCCCAAACUCCUACGGGAGGCAGCAGUAGGGAAUAUUGGACAAUGGGCGAAAGCCUAAUCCAGCAAUACCGCGUGAAUGAUGAAGGUCUUAGGAUUGUAAAGUUCUUUCGGUGGGGAAGAUAAUGACGGUACCCACAGAAGAAGCACCGGCUAACUUCGUGCCAGCAGCCGCGGUAAUACGAAGGGUGCUAGCGUUAUUCGGAAUCACUGGGCGUAAAGAGUGUAAAGGCUGUUAGAUAAGUUAGUUAUGAAAUCCCUGAGCUCAACUCAGGAACUAUAAUUAAAACUAUCUAGCUAGAGUAUAGUAGGCGAUGGCGGAAUUCUUAGUGUAGGGGUGAAAUCCGUAGAUAUUAAGAGGAACACCGGUGGUGAAGACGGCUAUCUUGACUAUAACUGACGCUACAACACGAAGGCAUGGGUAGCAAACA